UACGUAGGGGGCAAGCGUUGUCCGGAUUUAUUGGGCGUAAAGAGCGUGUAGGCGGCCAUACAGGUCCGUUGUGAAAACUCGAGGCUUAACCUCGAGACGUCGAUGGAAACCGUAUGGCUAGAGUCCGGAAGAGGAGAGUGGAAUUCCUGGUGUAGCGGUGAAAUGCGCAGAUAUCAGGAAGAACACCCGUGGCGAAGGCGGCUCUCUGGGACGGUACUGACGCUGAGACGCGAAAGCGCGGGGAGCGAACAGG
rnacentral:rRNA from 1 species